rnacentral:rRNA from 1 species
UACGAGGGGGGCGAGCGUUGUUCGGAAUUAUUGGGCGUAAAGGGUGCGUAGGCGGUUUGGUAAGUCUCGUGUGAAAUCUCCGGGCUCAACUCGGAGCCUGCACGAGAAACUGCCGGGCUUGAGUGUGGGAGAGGUGAGUGGAAUUCCUAGUGUAGCGGUGAAAUGCGUAGAUGUCAGGAGGAACACCUGUGGCGAAAGCGGCUCACUGGACCAUAACUGACGCUGAUGCGCGAAAGCUAGGGGAGCAAACAGG